rnacentral:hammerhead_ribozyme from 1 species
CCACUGCUGAGGAGUCCCAUACCAGGACGAAACGGCCGUCCAGUGA